rnacentral:tRNA from 1 species
AAAUAAGAAGCAACUUAUUGCAGUCAGUUUCGACCUGGCCCUAGAUAAAAUUUAUCCUUAUUUA